UUACGUUCAGUGUGAGCCUAGGCUCCGUGUUGAAGACCGUACCUUGACCUAUAAUGGUUUACUUUCAUAAAUUGGAACUUGGAUGGAGAGUUGUCUCAUUGGCACUCAUACCACAUCUUCCUAUAUCUAAUUAAAACUACAUUUUACAUCUAUAUUAUUUGUAGCUUAAAGUGAAGAGUGUUAGAGAACACAUGUACAAGUAAUCAUGGUAAUGAGGGCAAUAUAUUAAACUUUAUGAUAAUAUAGUAAAAGGAAGAAUCCAGG
rnacentral:lncRNA from 1 species